UACGGAGGGUGCGAGCGUUGUCCGGAAUCACUGGGCGUAAAGGGCGCGUAGGUGGCGCGGGCAGUCAACGGUGAAAGUUCGGGGCUCAACCCUGAAUCGGCCGUCGAUACUCCCGUGCUUGAGCACUGUAGAGGCAGGUGGAAUUCCGGGUGUAGCGGUGGAAUGCGUAGAGAUCCGGAAGAACACCGGUGGCGAAGGCGGUCUGCUGGGCAGUAGCUGACACUGAGGCGCGACAGCGUGGGGAGCAAACAGG
rnacentral:rRNA from 1 species